rnacentral:rRNA from 1 species
GUACACGCUGUGACUAGCAUAUCAAUAAGCGGAGGAAAAGAAACUAACAAGGAUUCCCCUAGUAACGGCGAGUGAAGCGGGAAGAGCUCAAAUUUGAAAUCUUAAAGGGUUUCCCUUUACGAAUUGUAGUUUAAAGAAGUGUUUUCUGUUGAGGUUUUGGUAAAAGUUCUUUGGAAUAGGACAUCAUAGAGGGUGAGAAUCCCGUAUUUGACCUUUACUUUCAACUUUGUGAUACACUUUCAAAGAGUCGGAUUGUUUGGGAAUGCAGUCCAAAAUGGGUGGUAAAUUUCAUCUAAAGCUAAAUAUUGGCGAGAGACCGAUAGCGAACAAGUACCGUGAGGGAAAGAUGAAAAGAACUUUGAAAAGAGAGUUAAACAGUACGUGAAAUUGUCAAAAGGGAAGCGUUUGACACCAGUGUUGUUUUUCUGAAAAUCAAUUAAAGAACUGUUUAUGCUAAGCUGUUUAGACUUUAUCAGCUAAUCUGUUUAGUUUUGAGCUUUUCUUUAAUGCACUUUUCAGUUAACAAGUCAACAUCAAUUUCUUUUGCUGUAAAAAAGCUUGAGGAAGGUGGCUUGAGAUUCGUCUUAAGUGUUUAUAGCCUCUUGCCUAUGCAGUCGGAGAGAUUGAGGUCUGCAGCGUAGAUCCUUCGGGGCUAAAUGCAUUUGUGCUAAGUUAUAGCAUUUUAUAGACAACUUGUUGACUAUGAUUUGUCUUGUAGCUUACUCGCUUAUGUUAUUUUACCUACGCUUAGGAUGUUGAGUCGUAGAGCACGCAG